rnacentral:rRNA from 1 species
UGGGGAAUAUUGGACAAUGGGCGAAAGCCUGAUCCAGCCAUGCCGCGUGUGUGAAGAAGGUCUUCGGAUUGUAAAGCACUUUAAGUUGGGAGGAAGGGCAGUAAGCGAAUACCUUGCUGUUUUGACGUUACCGACAGAAUAAGCACCGGCUAACUCUGUGCCAGCAGCCGCGGUAAUACAGAGGGUGCAAGCGUUAAUCGGAAUUACUGGGCGUAAAGCGCGCGUAGGUGGUUCGUUAAGUUGAAUGUGAAAGCCCCGGGCUCAACCUGGGAACUGCAUCCAAAACUGGCGGGCUAGAGUAGGGCAGAGGGUGGUGGAAUUUCCUGUGUAGCGGUGAAAUGCGUAGAUAUAGGAAGGAACACCAGUGGCGAAGGCGACCACCUGGGCUCAUACUGACACUGAGGUGCGAAAGCGUAGGGAGCAAACAGG